rnacentral:rRNA from 1 species
GUCCACGCCGUAAACGAUGGAUACUAGCUGUUGGGGGCAACAUCAGUGGCUAAGCGAAAGUGAUAAGUAUCCCACCUGGGGAGUACGUUCGCAACAAUGAAACUCAAAGGAAUUGACGGGGGCCCCGCACAAGCGGUGGAGCAUGUGGUUUAAUUCGAUGAUACGCGAGGAACCUUACCAAGGCUUAAAUGUAGAUUGACCGGUUUGGAAACAGACUUUUCGCAAGACAAUUUACAAGGUGCUGCAUGGUUGUCGU